AGUUUUGUUUUCUCUCCCACCUGCGUUCUGUGUUUAGGCGUACAGCCUCUCAACCCACAGCGGUCGAGUUCACAACCCUCCUCUGACUCUCCUCCCACCUCUGCGAUCUGGGGCAGCCUCCCGCGGCGGCCGCACCGCUGGCCAGCCGAGUCAACUCACUGUCAGGCUUUCAGUCUACACGGAUCCUGAAUGUCUCUCUCGCCACCUGUUGUAAUGCCUGAAACUCCUGGCACUGAAGUCCAUGCCUAUUGGGAAAGAGACUCCGAUCAUUCCCACAUCGUUUGCCAGAAGAAGACGCUGCCCACCUGCUAGGAAUGGCCAACUCACCUGCCAGCUGUGGUUCUCAGUGUUCAAACAUUGGUCUCCCAGUGCUCACGGCAGCCUGGAUUUGGAGUUGCAAGCAUUCAAAAAUGACUCUGGAAGACAUAAGCAAAAUGAAAUUUACUGGGACGAUACUGGGGAGCCCAUAGCAUCUGUAGGCUGGCUGGAGAGUUUGGCCAAUGAGCUCUGCUAGCAGGAACAAGGCUCAAAGAUCAUACUGCAGAACUGGUCCAGGGAAGAUGCCAUGACGUUCUGACAGACAUGUCUCAUGCGGCCACUACUGCCUUUCAAACUGGACCACCACUGUGGCCGCCACCCAUUGGCAACUGGAAUCUUUGUGUCUCUGUUUCUUCCUACCACUAGCUUCUGAUUCAAAAUCUGGGUGGGAGCAUCUGAUAGGCAGAGCCCAGAUGGUGUGCCCAAGCCCUGGUUGCAAAGAUGGCUCAGAAACAGAUUAUGUGAUAUUUUCAGCUUUAACUCUAGACAGUCGGCUCUACCUCUUAACCCAGGGGAAUUUCCAAACAGAGGCAGGCUGUUCAGACGCUAGAUGGCCAGAACACGUACCUUUUCCUUUCCGCCUUUACAGCCAUCUCUUGCGAGCGUUGCUUGAGUGAAUCAGCACCCUUUGAUCCAUCUAGCUCGGGGACACAGACAAGUUUCUGAAGCCUACAAAUUGGAGGACCAGGAAAUGGAUUCUUGAGGAACUUCAAGGAUGGAGGCCAUUCAGUUCACGCUACCCUGCCAAUAUUCUCUGGUCCUGGCCAAGUGAUGCUUUUCCUCCUCAAAAUUCUUAGAAUAGGCCCUGAGUGGAUGUUUGGUGUGAGAGUGAAAAGAAAAGAAAAAAAAAAGAAAGAGG